rnacentral:lncRNA from 1 species
GAGGAGAAUAAAUUCUUGGAAUGGAGAUGAAAUGUCCAGCUUGGAGGCCAGCUAUGGCGGCACUUGGGAGGCAGAGGUGGGAGGAUCUCUGUGAUUUGAGGCUCGCCUGGUCUACAAAGUAUGUUCCAGAACAGCCAGGGCUAAGUAUGAGACCCUGUCAUUCUGAGUGGCAUCCUUCCGAUCUGCUUCCCAUGUGUGUGCGUGUGUGCAGCUAGGGCCUGCCCCACUGCCCGUGGCUUCUGAGAUAACUCCUAAAGGAGGUAAAAGUGUUGUUGGAAAAGUUCACCAGGAAAAGAACAUUCCCGUUACAGAAGAAAAUUGCAAAACUGAGACAGAAAUAAAGACCACGAUGCAGCCACAGAAGAAUCUCGACCUUCUUGAACACUGAAAAGCUAGCUGCUACGGUUGUUUCCAUUACAAUAGGAUUCUCAGUGAAAAUCGAGCCUUAUGCGUGAGAUCAAUCAGGUAAGUUUGUACAAACGGGCAUUAUCUGUAGCAGGAACAGCAGGGCCACCUCUGUGUAAACGCUGGGGGCCACACAGCCACUAAAAGCACCCCCUGCAGGAGGACCUAAUUGAGGACUGCCUGAGAGACCAAGGAUUGCUGCUGCAGACAAUGCCAGCCAAUCAGGAACUGCUGUUUAGAGGAGAUGCUUGCUUGGGACCAAUGGGCCAUAGGUGGAGCGUAUUAAAUGAGCUUGCAGCAGUGCUCAGAUGAGCUUUCUGAAGAGUU